UUUAUUUUCAAAUAUUCUCUAAUAAACUUUAAAUCUGUUCUUAUCAGUUUAAUAUCUGAUAGGUCCUUUAUUUGAGGACUGUAUAUUAAAUUGAUUUUUGAAACAAGGGGAUGGAAUAGGAGCUUGCUCUGUCCACCCCAUGCAUUGACCUAGUAUUGCAGUGUCUCUAGGACCAGUGCCUCUCCU